rnacentral:piRNA from 1 species
UAACCCAAAUUUCCUUUACUGUUUGGCAUG